rnacentral:rRNA from 1 species
GAACGAACGCUGGCGGCAGGCCUACCCCAUGCAAGUCGAGCGAGGACUUCGGUCCUAGCGGCGGACGGGUGAGUAACGCGUGGGAACGUGCCCUUUGCUUCGGAAUAGCCCUGGGAAACUGGGAGUAAUACCGGAUGAGCCCUUUGGGGGAAAGAUUUAUCGGCGAAGGAUCGGCCCGCGUUGGAUUAGGUAGUUGGUGGGGUAAUGGCCUACCAAGCCGACGAUCCAUAGCUGGUUUGAGAGGAUGAUCAGCCACACUGGGACUGAGACACGGCCCAGACUCCUACGGGAGGCAGCAGUGGGGAAUCUUAGACAAUGGGGGAAACCCUGAUCUAGCCAUGCCGCGUGAGCGAUGAAGGCCUUAGGGUUGUAAAGCUCUUUCAGCUGGGAAGAUAAUGACGGUACCAGCAGAAGAAGCCCCGGCUAACUCCGUG